rnacentral:ncRNA from 1 species
CAGUUAUGGUUCAUUUGAUCGUACAGUUGACUUGGAUAACUGUGGUAAUUCUAGAGCUAAUACAUGCGAGAAGCGCCGACCUCGCGGGAGGCGUGCAUUUAUCAGACCAAAAACCGGCCGCGUCUUCGGGCGCGUUCGCCUUGGUGACUCUGGAUAACUUUGCGGAUCGCACGGUCUAGCACCGGCGACGGAUCAUUCAAGUGUCUGCCCUAUCAACUUUCGUCGGUACGGUAUUUGCCUACCGAGGUUCUUACGGGUGACGGGGAAUCAGGGUUCGAUUCCGGAGAGGGAGCCUGAGAAACGGCUACCACAUCCAAGGAAGGCAGCAGGCGCGCAAAUUACCCAUUCCCGACGCGGGGAGGUAGUGACGAAAAAUAACAAUGCAGGACUCGUUCGAGGCCCUGUAAUUGGAAUGAGUACACUUUAAAAGCUUUAACGAGUAUCCAUUGGAGGGCAAGUCUAAAACAGCAGCCGCGGUAAUUCCAGCUCCAAAAGUAUAUAUUUAAGUUGUUGCGGUUAAAAAGCUCGUAGUUGGAUUUUGGGCGCAGGCGGCCGGUCCGUCGCAAGGCGUGUACUGGACGUCCUGGCCUUCCCUCCGGUUCUCCGCCGGUGCUCUUGACUGAGUGUCGGCGGCGGCCGGAACGUUUACUUUGAAAAAAUUAGAGUGUUCAAAGCAGGCUCUCGAGCCUGGAUAAUGGUGCAUGGAAUAAUGGAAUAGGACCUCGGUUCUAUUUUGUUGGUUUUCGGAGCGCGAGGUAAUGAUUAAGAGGGACAGACGGGGGCAUUCGUACUGUGCCGUUAGAGGUGAAAUUCUUGGAUCGGCGCAAGACGAACGACUGCGAAAGCAUUUGCCAAGAAUGUUUUCUUUAAUCAAGAGCGAAAGUCAGAGGUUCGAAGACGAUCAGAUACCGUCCUAGUUCUGACUAUAAACGAUGCCAACUAGCGAUCGGGGGGCGUUACAUUGACGACCCCUCCGGCAGCUUACGGGAAACCAAAGUCUUUGGGUUCCGGGGGAAGUAUGGUUGCAAAGCUGAAACUUAAAGGAAUUGACGGAAGGGCACCACCAGGAGUGGAGCCUGCGGCUUAAUUUGACUC